rnacentral:rRNA from 1 species
UACGUAGGGUGCGAGCGUUAAUCGGAAUUACUGGGCGUAAAGCGUGCGCAGGCGGUUUUGUAAGCCAGAUGUGAAAGCCCCGGGCUUAACCUGGGAAUGGCAUUUGGGACUGCAAGGCUGGAGUGUGGCAGAGGAGACUGGAAUUCCUGGUGUAGCAGUGAAAUGCGUAGAUAUCAGGAGGAACACCCAUGGCGAAGGCAGCUUCCUGGCCCAAUUCUGACGCUGAGGUGCGAAAGCGUGGGUAGCGAACGGG